rnacentral:rRNA from 1 species
ACGUCAAAUCAUCAUGCCCCUUACGUCCAGGGCUACAGGCGUGCUACAAUGGCCGAUAUAAUAAGAAGCAAUAUCGCAAGAUGGAGCCAAUCUCAAAAGUCGGUCUCAGUUCGGAUUGGAGUCUGCAACUCGACUCCAUGAAGUUGGAAUCGCUAGUAAUCGUGAAUCAGAAUGUCACGGUGAAUACGUUCCCGGGUGUU